UACGAAGGGGGCGAGCGUUGUUCGGAAUCACUGGGCGUAAAGGGCGCGUAGGCGGCCCUCCUUGUCGCGUGUGAAAGCCCCGGGCUCAACCUGGGAACGGCGCGCGAGACGGGGGGGCUGGAGUUCGGGAGAGGAGCGUGGAAUUCCCAGUGUAGAGGUGAAAUUCGUAGAUAUUGGGAGGAACACCAGUGGCGAAGGCGGCUCACUGGACCGGAACUGACGCUGAGGCGCGAAAGCGUGGGGAGCAAACAGG
rnacentral:rRNA from 1 species